AGUGAACGCUGGCGGUAGGCCUAACACAUGCAAGUCGAACGGCAGCACAGUAAGAGCUUGCUCUUACGGGUGGCGAGUGGCGGACGGGUGAGGAAUACAUCGGAAUCUACUUUUUCGUGGGGGAUAACGUAGGGAAACUUACGCUAAUACCGCAUACGACCUACGGGUGAAAGCAGGGGAUCUUCGGACCUUGCGCGAUUGAAUGAGCCGAUGUCGGAUUAGCUAGUUGGCGGGGUAAAGGCCCACCAAGGCGACGAUCCGUAGCUGGUCUGAGAGGAUGAUCAGCCACACUGGAACUGAGACACGGUCCAGACUCCUACGGGAGGCAGCAGUGGGGAAUAUUGGGCAAUGGGCGCAAGCCUGAUCCAGCCAUGCCGCGUGAGUGAUGAAGGUCUUCGGGUUGUAAAGCCCUGUUAUUGGGAAAGAAAAUCAGCGUGUGUAUCUGUCGCUAUCCUGACGGUACCCAAACAGAAAGCACCGGCUAACUUCGUG
rnacentral:rRNA from 1 species